rnacentral:lncRNA from 1 species
AUGGAACAGGUUUUGAUGUCCAGUCCUGGAAGCCACACUGACUGGGAUGGAGAUCAGAAUAGCCUGGGGUUUAUGCUUCUGGAUUCAACUGAUUCUGUAACGCCAUGCAGAAAUGAGGAGACAGAUGAACGGCAACUGCAUUUUGAGGAGGGAGAUGGGAAUGUCUUGUCUCUCAGCCUGGGUGAGAUAUUCCCAGAAAAUGCCUUAAAUUUAGAUGACCUGUUUCGGACUCCCCAGUAUUCUGGUGUAGAGCAGAUGUUCCCAUGGGAGCAAGAUGCAGAGCACUCUGCCUCACAUUGGGAAAGCCAUCUCUCUUGUUCCCAGGAUUUCCCACCAAGUGAGCAAGACCAGGUCGUAGAGGAGAGUGCCAGCCCCUGUUCCAAUGCCAGUUCAGAUAUUACAAGUAGUACAAGUAGUAACCAACAAUGGGGCAGGGAGACCACAGACAUCCCAGAGAGCACACCUGUGUUCACAGACUCACUCAUCGUCAGUGACUCCACAGGUGAUGUGCAGCAUGAGCCAGGUGUGGACACCCAUACACAGGAACUUUUGUCUUCGCAGACUCUUACACACACUUCAGCUCAGGAUCCACAACACAUCUUCACACCCGAGGAGUGUACAAUGUCAUACAGGACUCCCCAGCUUGAUCUCACACUCACAGGUGUGUGUUUGGAGCCCACAGCUCUUCCAAGUGAAACAAGCAACCCUCUUGUGUGCGAGGAGAUGAAUCAACAAUAUGUGUGCACAGAGCAGCAUACCCCUCAUCUCUUACUUGAGGAGGAUGCUUUCCAGCAGACAGAACAGGAAAUAUCAGAAAUCUACAGCAGUUGCCUCUCGCCGGCAAACACACUUUUAACAAAAACAUCUGACCACACAGCACAGACUAUAGCAUCCAAAAACAUGACGGAGUCAGAAAUAUGUCAACACACCCAAAAAAGCCCAGAUGGCGACAUCAUGCCUAUUGAAGGUGGAGCUGAACUCCUGAUACAGACUGAGGCAGACAUAUGUCAUCACACAGAGGGAGAAGGAACACAUGCUCCUCCACUAGCCUUGCCCGAAGAAGAAGUUCUGACUGACCAGGCUUCACACAGUCACACUUUGAGUGUAUUGACAUCUGAUAGAGAUCUUGGGUGUGAACCUGCCCCUCAGCAGUUAUUUGAAGGAGAUCAUUUAUCUGUAUUGGCUACAGAGGUAGAUGCACCUGAACUCUUACUUGAGGUCACAACUCAACAAGUCCUCUCUGAACAGACACCUGAAAAGGAUGCAUCACUGGAUAUCAAAGCUGUGGAAGAAAUACCUGCAACUGCAGCAGAAGGCAUCAUCUUGAUCGAAGGAGACUUGCCGUCUGGAAAUGAAUCUGAAGCAGUUUCUGAACACUCAACUGAGACUGAAAUACAUGAACAAGCUGGUCAACAACACACAGAAAAAAAUAAUCUAGGCGAUGUGCUGUAUAUGGAGACACCAGAGAAAACACAUCUGAAAAUACAGCAGAUGAACACAUAG